rnacentral:lncRNA from 1 species
CUCAGGGGGCAUCACGGAACCUGCCGACAUGUGAUGUCUCCCCCGGACACCCAGCUUUAAAAUUUCUCUCUUGUACUCUUUCCCUUUAUUUCUAGACCGGCCAACACUUAGAGAAAUAGAAAAGAACCUAUGUGAAAUAUCGGGGGCUGGUUUCCCCUGAUAGUGAAGGAGACAGGUUAGAUACACUGGAGCUUCCACACAGGAGAGAGGGAAGGAGCUGGAGAAGAAGUAGCUGAAUAUAACUGGCCAGUGCAGAAGAGCCUAUGAAGGUGGAAAAUGGAGGAAGGAGGACCCCAUGCUGGAGAAGUGAUGGAGAUUUGAAGCCUUGGAAGAUGGCGGCAAGGGAGAUGCCAGAGAUGAGACAAUGUUAAACAUCUGUAAUCUAACAGUCUUCUAUGGGAGUUUAUUACAUUUCCAUAUCCUAUGUUCACUUCUAGUGAAAAAUAAAAAUAAAAUCUUAAGCCCCCCACAGCUGACUAAAUGGAUCCCAUUGUGAAAGGAAAAUAUCUUGAGCCUCCAAAAUCACUAAGGAAAAUUCAAGCUGGAAACUUCUUAGGACAAACCUGCCUCCCAUUCUCUUCAAAGUUAUUCCUCUGCUCGAGGAGCUAGAUGCAUAUCUGAUUGCCGCCUUUGGAAAGGCUAACCAGAAACUCAAAAGAAUGAUACAGUUUGUUAUCACCUACCUGUGACCUGGAAGCUCCCUCCCUCCCCACUUGAGUCUUCCUGCUUUUGUUUCAAGCUGUCCUGCCUUUCCAGACCAAACCAAUGUACUUCUUACGUAUAUUGAUUGAUGUCUCACUCAUGUCUCCCUAAAUCGUAUAAAACCAAGCUGUGCCCCAACUACCCUGGGCAUGUGUCAUCAGGAUUUCAUGAAGCUGUGUCACGGGCGCAUUCCCCAACCUUGAAAAAAUAAACUUUCUAAAUUAACUGAGACCUGUCUCAGAUUUUCUGGGUUCACAUUGUUUUCGUCAAGGGGACUCCCCAAGUAACUUUGAAAACUGAGUUCUAGGCUGUGAGGGGAUGGGAGGUCAGAGGUCAGACGCACCUUGCUGCACACCUCCACCUCGCUAACCCCCUUAGGCUUUCUUCCCUAGGGGCUAAACAGAAACCAGCUCUUUCCUUUUUUUUUUUUCUUUUUUUUUAGAGACGAGUCUUGCUCUGUCACCCAGGCUGGAGUGCAGUGGUUCGAUUUUGGCUCACUGCAACCACCACCUCCCAGGUUCAAGCAAUUCUCCUGCCUCAGCUUCCCAAGUAACUGCAACUACAAGCACAUGCCACCAUGCCCGGCUAAUUUCUUUUGUAUUUUUAGUAGAGAUGGGGUUUCACCAUGUUGCCCGGGCUGGUCUUGAACUCCUGAGCUCAGGCAAUCUGUCCGCCUCAGCCUCCCAAAGUGCUAGGAUUACAGGCAUGAGCCACUGCACCCAGCCAAAACCAGCUCUUUCAAAAGACUCCAGUGCUGAUAUCAACAACUGCCUGAGGCUUCCCCACCCUUUUGCAGUUUCCACAUAACAAUUAACCAGCAUUCCCUCCUGAUAAGAGACAACACCCCGCCCGCCGACGCAGAGCGGUUCUGGCCAGUCUUCAGAGGCUGCACACAGAGAGCCUGCGUGUCCCUGCUUUGUCUUUCGAUGUAAAAGGCCUAACUGUCAUGCAUUGAAAUGUGAAGUCUCCAGCCCAAAGUGAACAUGGGACACAUGCUGCAUGCAUGUUAGCCUGCUACACAUGCAUGAUCCUCUUCAUGAAUAUUCAUAGCUCCUCCUGUAAUCUGUUGAAUAUGUAUACUUAGCCAAC